GCGACCUCGGAUCAGACGAAAACCCCCAAAAGCAUAUGGGUAAGGGGGAGGAAAAAAAAAACAGUGAUUCCCCAGUAGGGGCGAGCAAAAAGGGGAAGAGCCCAGCCCCGGGAACCCCGGCCGCGGGACCCCUUUGGGACCCGUAUGGGUGCGUCGCGCCCCAACCCCGGGGAACGGAGGAAAGGGUCCCCGAGCGGGGCCCUUUGCCGUGGGGUAAAACCCGUGCCCCCCGCCCCGGAUGGGAAGGACGACCCCGGAGAGUCGGGGUCGGGGGAGCCCCAAGACGGGAGGUAGCCCUCCUCCCAAAAAACCGACCGCGAGACCGAUGAAACAAGUACCGUGGGGGAAAGUUGAAAGAAUUUUUUGAAGAGAGCAAGAGAGGGAAACCCUUUUCCCCGGGGAAACGGGUGGGGCCUCGAAGCCCCGGGCUCGGGGGGGAUUCAGUCGGGGCCGCCCAAAAAUUUUUACCCCCCGGAGGGGAAGUCGCGGGGGGGAAACCCCCAAAGGUCGGGGGGCUUUCCGGGGGGUCCCUUUUGGGUCCCGCCCGAUUUCCCCCUUUCGAUGGAGGGGCCUCUGCCGCGUUCGAUGGGGGAAAAGCGUCCCCCGGGGCGCGUCGGUUCCGCCCCGGCCGGUCGUCGUGGGGGCCAUUUCCCGGGGGGUGGCUGGCGGUUCCGUGUGCGGCGGGCCCGGGUUUUCCCGGGGGCUGAUGCUUUUGGGCUCGCCCCCGCGACGAGUGGGUCGGUCCCCACCCGACCCGUCGGCAGGGGCCGGGGGUCUUACUGGGGUGGGGAGUCUGGGAAAUAAUCCCAACGGCGUAGCGAAAGCAAAGGGUCGCGAUCCCUUCGGCUUUACAGUCGAGGGGCCGGGGGCCCCCUUUUCCUAGACCAAGGAGGAAGGGGGGGCACCUCGGUAAGGGAAGGUGGUGAACUUUCUGGGGCAGGGACGAAGGCCGAAAACUCGGCUGGGGGCCGGGUUUGACGUCAAAUCGAUCGCCAGACCCGGUAUGGGGGAAAAAGACCAAUCGAACCCCCCUGGUACCCGGUUCCCCAAAAAUUUCCCCCUCAGGAUAGCUGUCCCUUCAUUGAUGGCCAGUUGGCCCCGUAGAGAGAAUGAUUAGACCCUUUGGGGACGCCCGUGUCACUCGACCUCUUCUCAAAUUUACAAAAGGGACUUGAAAUCGGUUCUCCCCCCGAUCGGAGACCAAAGUGCGGAUCGAGUGACGUGUGGGCCAUUUUUUGGAAAGCAGAACUGGCGCUGCGGGAUGAACCGAACGGGGCUAAGGCCCUAUGCGGACGCUCAGAAAACCCCAUGAAAAGGUGUGGGUUUGCUAAGCAGGCAGGACGGUGGCCAGGGAAAGCCGGCACCCCCCAAAGGGAGUGUGUAACAACUCCCCCGCCAAACAACCGGUCCUAAAAAUGGAUGGCGCUCCAGCGUCGUAGCCCAUGCCCGGCCGGGGGCCCCCAAAUAUGGUGAUUUUGGGGGUCACCGGUAGGGGGUGGGUCGGUGGGCGUAGAAGGUCGCGGCGUGGGGUCGGACUGGAGCCACCGGCGGUCCAGAUCUUGGGGUAGUAGCAAAUAUUCCAGUGAGAGCCUGGAAGACUGAAGCACGGAGAAGGGGUUUCGGAACAGCAGGGGAACAUGAGUGAUUUUGGUCCUGGGGUUUUUACGCCAAUGCGUAUAUUUAAAUCUUUCUUUAAAUUUAAAAGAGUUGUGAAAAAAGAUGAAGACCGAAAAAAAAAGGGGUUUAAAUUCCCCCUUUUCCCCGGGACAGGGAAAUUGGGCCCCCGGGGUCGAUAGGGGCGGUAACGCAACCAAACCCUCGGCGACGUCGUCGGGGGGACCCGGAAAGGGGUUGAUUUUUCCCGUAAGACGGCGUGUCCCUGGGUCUCGUCGCGAGGAAAAAGGGCCCGCUGCCGUCGAAAGAGCACGGUCGCUGCUGCCGUGCCCGGUGGCCUCCCCCGGGCCCCUUAAAAACCCGGAGGGAGGGUGUGUUUUCGUGCCGGCCCGGCCCAAAAUCCGCAGCAGGUCUCAAAGGUGAAAAAAGCCCCCGGUCUCUAGAAAAAUUUGGUAGGUAAGGGAAGUCGGCAAGUUCGACCCCUAACCCAAAAAAAAAUUGGCUCUUGUGUCUGGCCCUCUGGAUUUCCCUUUUUAUUUCGGGAAGCUCCUAUCGUGACGGGGACUGGCCCGCUUUUGGGGAGGACCCCGUACUCGGGUGGGGGGGACGGUGGAAGGCCCUUUUCCCCUUUCGAAAGGGGGUUUCCGGAGUGCCGGAGGACGAGCAGGGGAAAACGAACAAGAACGGGCCCACGGACCCGGGAACCAAUUGUUAAUUAAAACAAAGCAUUCCCGAGGGCCCGGAGAGCGGUGUUGACGCAAUGUGAUUUCUGCCCGGCUCUGAAUGCCCAAAGGGAAAUUCACCGAAGCGCGGGUAAACGGCGGGUAACUAUGACUUUCUUAAGGUAGCCAAACGCCUCGUCAUCUAAUUAGUGACGCGCAUGAAUGGAUUAACGGGGAAUUCCCCCAUUUCCCUAUCUACUAUCUAGCAGAAACCGCACCCAAAGGGAACGGACUUGGCCAAUUAUCGGGGAAAAAACCCCUUUCGAGCUUGACUCUAGUCUGACUUUGUUCUAAGGCAUUAGGGGUAGUCUGGGGGGGAACCCUCCCCCCCCGGGGAAAAGUGAGAUGUAAAAUUUACCACUUUUGAUCGCCUUGGGACUCAUUCGGUGAUGUUCUAAAUUUUUCCAAGUGAAAGAAUUGUUUAAUCGUGCUUUGAAGCGUCGCCGCUUUAAAGGGGCGAUGCGAGGAACCCGAAGGGGUCGGCGGCAGUUUGCCCUGGGGCGGAACAUCUGUAAAAUGGCAACCGGGUUUCCCAAGGCCCGGGCCGGGCCGGGAGGGAAAACCCCCAGAGAAAAGGGGGCAAAAAGCCGGUUUUCUCUCGUUCUUCAGCAAGGAAGGGGACCGGGAAACAGGGGCCCAUCGAUCCUUUUUUUUAUAUUAGAUGUGAGAGUCUCACGGGAGAGGGUGUCGGAAAAGUUACCGGAGGGAUAACUGGUUUUGUGGCGGAAAAAGCGUUCAUAGCGACGUCGCUUAUUGAUUCUUCGAUGUCGGCUCUUCCUAUCAUUGCGAAGCAAAAUUUCCCAAAAGCGUUGGAUUGUUCCCCCAAAAUUAACGGGAACGUGAGCGGGGUUUAAAACCGUCGUGAGACAGGUUUUUUUUACCCUCAUGAAGAGGGGUGUCCCCAGGUCAAACUUGCCCAGUACGAGAGGAACCGUAGGUUGGGACAUUUGGUCCCUGUUUUUGGGGGUCCCGCCGGUCCAAGCUACCAUCCUGCGGGGGGGAACGGCUAAAAA